rnacentral:lncRNA from 1 species
ACACACCCUCACUCCCAUCCAUACACUCACCCUCUCUCACACACCCAACCUCCCACCUUUAAUGUGUGGAUGGGACUAAGGUUUUCUCAUUUCUUUCAGAUUGUGCGCCUCCGAGGUGAACGUCUGACUGAAGUGAACGUGUGGCUGGUCGAGAACUCCUCCAAACAGGUAAAGUACUUAUGACAAUAUAUAAUGUCUAUAUGCAAGUAUUUAUGAAUGUUAUGUUUUAAAGUUUUUUGUAUUCCAGGUUUGUUUGUGUGGCUGACUGGACCUACUACAAGGUGCUUCUUGCAGAUACAUCAGUGAUGGUGAGGCCGUCACAUUACCAGCGGUUGUGGAUUUCUCAAUUCAACCUUUAUAUUGCAGACUCCACAUAAGGUAAAACACUUCCAUUCAGCAAUUCGUGUGCAGUGUCCAGAUUGUCAACAUUUAACACUGUACUGUACGUCGCCGCUCUUCAGUGACUACAUCACAACACAUUCACGUAAAUAGUUCUCAGUUAAAUCAGUCGUUGUAAACAAGGAAAUAAAUAACUUUCUCCUAUUA